rnacentral:sRNA from 1 species
UCGCAUAUAUGAUAAUGGUUAUGAUGGGGAUCAAGUAUAAUAUGUGUGUAGAGAUUCUUCUUUUAAUUACUAUGUGUGUAACAGCUUUGUUCAGUUAGCUAUCUAAUUGUUGAUUAUCAGUUAGGGUUUUGAGGAUCCAAAUACAAUUCUUUGUAGGUUUAAUUUGUCAAGAGUUUUGCUUUCUUUUUAAUGAAAGAAUAAGAAUUUCUUUGUUUUGAUGCUUCCUGUGUUUAUUGCUUAGUUUGCAGUUAUUUUUUCUUUGGUUUUCAUCUACUUAUUGUUUUAGGGAUUGGGGAUUGGGCUAGCACUCUUCUCCACAGUUUCAAGUUUCUAUUUGCACAAAGAACUUUCAUACAGGGUAUAAGUUCUUCAGGUGUGUGCUCUGAUGUUUCUCGAAUUUAGAUUUCUCAAAUCGCUAUUGUUUAUUAGAUUUUCUUUCGAUCUGAUUCCAAUUGAGUUCGAUUUCGAACUUUAAUUUAUAUUCGAUUUUGAUUUGC